CUGCUGACGAGUUCCAAACAGGACGAAACAGCUCUGUCCAG
rnacentral:hammerhead_ribozyme from 1 species